UACGGAGGGUGCAAGCGUUAUCCGGAUUUACUGGGUUUAAAGGGUGCGCAGGCGGAUAUGUAAGUCAGUGGUGAAAUCUCUAGGCUUAACCUGGAAAUUGCCGUUGAUACUAUAUAUCUUGAAUGCUGUGGAGGUAAGCGGAGUAUGUCAUGUAGCGGUGAAAUGCUUAGAUAUGACAUAGAACACCUAUUGCGAAGGCAGCUUACUACGCAGAUAUUGACGCUCAUGCACGAAAGCGUGGGGAUCAAACAGG
rnacentral:rRNA from 1 species